UCGAACGGAAAGGCCUGCAGCUUGCUGCGGGUACUCGAGUGGCGAACGGGUGAGUAACACGUGGGUGAUCUGCCUUGCACUUCGGGAUAAGCUUGGGAAACUGGGUCUAAUACCGGAUAGGACAGCUGUUUAGUGUCAGUUGUGGAAAGUUUUUUCGGUGCAAGAUGAGCUCGCGGCCUAUCAGCUUGUUGGUGGGGUAAUGGCCUACCAAGGCGUCGACGGGUAGCCGGCCUGAGAGGGUGUACGGCCACAUUGGGACUGAGAUACGGCCCAGACUCCUACGGGAGGCAGCAGUGGGGAAUAUUGCACAAUGGGCGGAAGCCUGAUGCAGCGACGCCGCGUGGGGGAUGAAGGCCUUCGGGUUGUAAACUCCUUUCGACAGGGACGAAGCGUAAGUGACGGUACCUGUAUAAGAAGCACCGGCUAACUACGUGCCAGCAGCCGCGGUAAUACGUAGGGUGCGAGCGUUGUCCGGAAUUACUGGGCGUAAAGAGCUCGUAGGUGGUUUGUCGCGUCGUCUGUGAAAUUCCGGGGCUUAACUCCGGGCGUGCAGGCGAUACGGGCUGACUUGAGUGCUGUAGGGGAGACUGGAAUUCCUGGUGUAGCGGUGAAAUGCGCAGAUAUCAGGAGGAACACCGAUGGCGAAGGCAGGUCUCUGGGCAGUAACUGACGCUGAGGAGCGAAAGCAUGGGUAGCGAACAGGAUUAGAUACCCUGGUAGUCCAUGCCGUAAACGGUGGGCGCUAGGUGUAGGGGGCUUCCACGUCUUCUGUGCCGUAGCUAACGCAUUAAGCGCCCCGCCUGGGGAGUACGCCGCAAGGCUA
rnacentral:rRNA from 1 species